rnacentral:rRNA from 1 species
UACGAAGGGGGCUAGCGUUGCUCGGAAUCACUGGGCGUAAAGGGUGCGUAGGCGGCGGGGCAAGUCAGGUGUGAAAUCUCGGGGCUCAACCCCGAAACUGCACUUGAUACUGCCUUGCUCGAGUACUGGAGAGGAGACUGGAAUUUACGGUGUAGCAGUGAAAUGCGUAGAUAUCGUAAGGAAGACCAGUGGCGAAGGCGAGUCUCUGGACAGUUACUGACGCUGAGGCACGAAGGCCAGGGGAGCAAACGGG